rnacentral:rRNA from 1 species
UUCUAAGUGCAGUGAAGUCAGACCGGAAGGACUGGUGGAGCGCUUAGAAGUGAGAAUGCCGGUAUGAGUAGCGAAAGACGGGUGAGAAUCCCGUCCACCGAAUGCCUAAGGUUUCCUGAGGAAGGCUCGUCCGCUCAGGGUUAGUCAGGACCUAAGCCGAGGCCGACAGGCGUAGGCGAUGGACAACAGGUUGAUAUUCCUGUACCACCUCUUUAUCGUUUGAGCAAUGGAGGGACGCAGAAGGAUAGAAGAAGCGUGCGAUUGGUUGUGCACGUCCAAGCAGUUAGGCUGAUAAGUAGGCAAAUCCGCUUAUCGUGAAGGCUGAGCUGUGAUGGGGAAGCUCCUUAUGGAGCGAAGUCUUUGAUUCCCCGCUGCCAAGAAAAGCUUCUAGCGAGAUAAAAGGUGCCUGUACCGCAAACCGACACAGG